UACGUAGGGUGCGAGCGUUGUCCGGAAUUAUUGGGCGUAAAGAACACGUAGGCGGUUUAUCAAGUCAUAAGUGAAAACCUUGGGCUUAACUUAAGGAUUGCAUAUGAUACUGGUAAGCUUGAGUACAGUAGAGGAAGACAGAAUUCCUGGUGUAGCGGUGGAAUGCGCAGAGAUCAGGAGGAAUACCGAAGGCGAAGGCAGUCUUCCAAGCCGUUAUUGACGCUCAACUGCGAAGGUGUGGGUAUCAAACAGGAUUAGAUACCCCCGUAGU
rnacentral:rRNA from 1 species